UGGAGAAAAGAACUAUAACUCUGUCAGCACUGUUGACAUCAUAUUUAAUGAAUAAGGUAUAAGGUUCACUUGAGUGACCCAGCAGUAUUGGCGGCGGAGGUUUUGCACUCUCCCGAGUGCUCCCCCUCGAGUUAUUUAUGUUUUUAGCUGUUGUUUUCAUCAAGUUUAGUUCGAGUAUAAAGGGGAAGUAGACAGGCUUUGCAAUUUUGAGAUGUUUUCUUGUUCUAUUCUUUAUUGAUGUCGGUUUCUUUUUCAACAUCCUCUGGUGCACAGUUGAGUGCGGUAUCGUUCACCAUGUAUUGAUUCAACCGUCAUUGCCUCUUCAUCCAGUACACUAAUGAUGAACUGUUUUUCAUCAGGUGAUGCCUGUCAAGUUCAAAUGAAAUUGCCCCAAAGUAACGUUCCUCACAACAUCCAAGAAGUUAUGUGCAAUUUAUAUGUGAUGGAAGAAUCGUGUGCUGCCCCUCUGGUGGAAGCUAGUGAUGGUGCUAAACAAGCCACAAACGUCUUGAGAGUACUUCCUGCCACAGUCCCAGCCGACGGUAAUUUUCUGCUCAAUGUGCUGCCUGUUGCUGUAAAUGGAGGUGAACCCAAUGACCUGAAAUUCCAAACGUUUCAGCAUAAAAUGCCAUCCAUCUACCAACAGAUGGCCAUUGCAUCAGCCUCUCACAACUCUAUGGCUUCUUAUCAGCAAUGCACCUCUUACCAACAAUGCGCCACUGGAGGCAAUUAUUCAUACGCUUGGCCAAUGUCAACUGCAUCAAUAAUGUUGAACGGAGAAAUUAUCUCCAUGAAUCCAAGUGCCAGUAAUGUAGUGGACAAUAGCAUGUCAAUGUUGAAUAUGACUCUCUGCCCAAGUCACGACAAACAAGCUCAACAUCCCAUAAACAUGAUGUGGAACGGCGUCGGCUGCUUGCAAACCGGAGGAUCAUGGACCCCAAAUGGAUUUGUUCCUCUGGUCCUUCAACAAAUGCCUGAAAUCGUCACUGUCGCUGAAACGGAGCUCACACCAACUCAAAAAAAUACAUUAUCCGAAGUCGAACACGUGAGUCGAUCACAAAUCCCGACGGAGCAUUCACUUCCAGCAGGAGGUUCUCCCACGCACGUGCCCGGCGGAAGCGUUGCCACUAAAAAGGCGGAUGCUGGCAGGAAUGAAGUCAAACGUUGUGACCUUUCAACCGAUACCCUGAAAACAGGUAAUCCGUCGGGGUCCAUCCAAGAGAUUGAAUAUAUUUUGGAAAACGAUAUGCCACAAGUGAUUCCUAUGGGAUCGCUCAAAUCGAAUGGACUUUUCCUGAUCGGAAACAAAAUCAUUUGGCUGCUGUUGAACUCGAAGUCUGAGAUGUCGAGCAUUCCAUGCGGAGUGAAAGAAGAUGUGUACUUCAUCUUGGACGACAGCGAAAAUUUCCGCAGAGAGCGCAAUGGCCAACGAAGAAUCUUCCAGGACGAUUUUGAGGCCUGUUCAUCGAAAAACUCAUUGAAACGGGUCCACUACGUUUACAUCCAUGGGGGUUUUGAAUAUGUUGAGUUUAGAAAAAAACAGUUUAACAAAAGUAUAGGAGGUAAAUCGACGCCCCUUCAACCCCAACCGAAUGGAGACCUUUUGGUUCUUGGGCGGUACAGCUGUUUUCUCAAACAUCAGAAAAUGUUUAAGAAAAGGGUUACAUGGAUUGAAACAUUUCCCAACAAAGUCAUCCCCAAGCAAUGGGAAAUUGCGGUGGCAGAGUACGUUGGUUCUCGCAAUCCCCAAAAAGUCAUUAAGAAACAGGUUAUACUCCCCAAAAAAGCUAAAAGAGGGUGAUGGAAAUAAAAAAAAAUUAAAACUGCAAACAUUGUCACCAAUCAGUGACAUAGACCGCAUCGAGAAAUCGAAUAUAAAUGUUUCGGAUUCCUCCGUCAGCCCGCAUCACGGCUGCCUCGCUCAGUUCCUCGUCGUCAUCGAACGAUUGGCGAGGCAGGUGCGACUUCAAAUGUCGAAGCGGUGGAAAUCGAUUCGGUGAUGACUUUUAUCGCGUUGCACAAAUCUUUAAUGUGAAUUGUUCCUUUUGACUUGAAAUGUUUUUUUUCAUUGGUUUGAAAGUUUUAAUUUUUUUUUUUUUUUUUUUUUUAUUUUGCAUUGUAAAGCCAGAUAGAUAACUUGGACUGUACUUCAAAAGCUGUUCCGAAAUGCACAUGCAGACAUGUUAUGGUAUUCACCGAGGACAAUUAGUGUUAAGGAAAAUGUUGAAGAGGUGCUGUCUAUUUAUUAUGUAUGCCUGUGUGGUGGGAAUAGUCCCAGGGUAAAAUCGAGUAAACCUAAAAUUGAGCAAGAAAAAGCAAUGGGGGAGAAUAAGUGUGAUGAGUGCGGCAGUUGCAGUCUAAUCGAAUGUCGCGUAAGACAGAUUACAGCUCAUAGAUGUAUGUCUAAGUUGGACAGCACUGUCUGCUGUUAGGUGGAUUGCCCUAAAUCUUUCAUCACAUUUCCGUAGAUGACACUCAUUCGCAAUGUGAUGAAUAGUCUGAUUUGGGUGAGCACAGUCAGGCAGUUGCAGAAAGAUGAGGUGAAGGAAUGGGUUUGUAUCAUGUUAAUGGUGAGCUAUCAAAACUUACCGUCGGUGCAAUCAAAAUUUCUAACUGCCUUGUGGGGGGCAUGUCGGGAGAGAGUGGAACUAUGAAAGUUUAAAAUGAUAAGAGAAAUUAAGUGAUAAUGAUCGGGCAAAGAAAGGAAGGUCGGAGAGUGGGGAUGGAAGGGGUCGAGAUGUGUAUAACGGGGUUGAGAUUGUGCAAACCUCGAGGCCAUCCUGCCAGCCUUGGGGUGAGGUGGGAUAUAUAUGUAUAUAGUUGCUUGCUGUGUUUGUUGAACUGGGUUUAUUUCUUUUAUUUAUUUAUUUAUUUUAUCACAUUAUUAUUCCCUUGGGCUUGGUAGUAAUAUUUUAUUUGCUAUCUUUUAUUUAACUGUGUUAAUAUUUCAGCAUUUUUACUGCGUGCAUAUGUUUCAUCAUGAGAAUAUUUAAUUAAUUCGGAGUUAAGAUAUAGUUUGUAUGAUUACAGUGGACAAUAUGGACAGGUUCAUGAUUAAAUUGUCGAGACGGAGCAAGUACAAAACAUCGAUGAGCGACAUCUCACUCGGAGCACCUGCAGUUGGUUUUGGAGACCAAAAUGACGUCAUAAUAUUUGCAUAUGUAAUAGGUAGAUGGCCCUUUCAUAUUUUGAAGGACAUUGUCGUGGACUGCGUUGAGCUGCAUUUUGCAUUGCUCGUGUGUUAAGAUGACGUCUUAUUUGCUCAUCCGUCGUCCAUCUCAAAUAUACUGCCCGACGAUGGCAGCCACAUGGCUUGGAUUUCCAUGCUUCUCCGAUCUUCCAGUCUUCCCUUUAUCUUUGCACAUAACCCUCUUUGCUUCAGAUCGCUGAGCAGUGCCUUCCUUUUCCUCUUUUCUUUCCAUUCUUCCAUCGAAGACCACUCUCGGAACUCAUUCUCCUCUAAUACUAUUCAGAUCUUUGCUUUUGUCUCGUUCUUCCCAUCAAACUUCACUCCUGGACAAGCUUCAGUCGUGCCUUACCAGUGUUGUGUGGAGGGGGGGGAGGGGAGGGGGAGGAAUCGGUAUAUUUCUACUUUUUGCCACAAAUUUCACUGAUUAAACAUCUGAUGCAUUGAUAAUGGCAAAUGGACCCAUUUCUCGGCUGUUGUUGUUGUUGUUGUUUUUUUUGUUGGAAUUCUCAUUUUAAGUAUAUUAUUAAUUUUCUUGGGUUGUUUUACACUUUUGUUUCCCCCCCCCCGACCUCUGCUCUCGUCAACUUUCUUCCUUGGAUUUGGUGGCAAAAUUGCAAUUUAAUUUGUGCCAUUUGGUGUUGCGACUUGAUCAACUUUCUUCCUUUUUAUACUUGUGUAUAUUUUCGAUGAUCUAUUUUCAUUUUUAUUUUUAUUAAUUAAAAAGUGCA
ensembl:lincRNA